AGUGAACGCUGGCGGUAGGCCUAACACAUGCAAGUCGAACGGCAGCACAGUAAGAGCUUGCUCUUACGGGUGGCGAGUGGCGGACGGGUGAGGAAUACAUCGGAAUCUACUUUUUCGUGGGGGAUAACGUAGGGAAACUUACGCUAAUACCGCAUACGACCUACGGGUGAAAGCAGGGGAUCUUCGGACCUUGCGCGAUUGAAUGAGCCGAUGUCGGAUUAGCUAGUUGGCGGGGUAAAGGCCCACCAAGGCGACGAUCCGUAGCUGGUCUGAGAGGAUGUUCGCCCACACUGAAAUGGAGCCACGUCCCAGCGCCUGAGGGAAGGCACAGGUGGGGAAUAUUGGAAAAUGGGCGCAAGCUUGAUCAAGCCAGACCGGGUGGUUGAAGAAGGCCUUCGGGCUGUAAACCCCUUUUUUUGGGAAAAAAAAGUGUCAGGUUAAUACCCCGCUGUUCUACGGUAACCCAUAAAAUAGGCACGGCUAACCAUGUU
rnacentral:rRNA from 1 species